UCCAAACGAACUGUCAAACGUGUCUCCAAACGAGCAUGACGUCACGAUUUCAAUGGAAAUGUUAAGGGCUGUGACGUCAUAUGCGCGUGUGCACGGUCAAAAAAAUCGAUUCAGCCAUGCUUUCGCUCAUCUAUAGAUUCUACUAUCUAUAGUGUUUGAACGAAUCAGUUAGACAGUGUCAGAACGAAUGAUUUCCGGUGGGCCAUUCCGGAACCGUGUAGUAAAAUGCGUUCGGCAUUGAAUAAACUUCACAAAAGUGCAAAAAAAAAUCAAAAACCUACCAACUAUUUCGGUGCCUCCAGACAGUCAAUACACGAGCAAAAUUGAAGGGAAAAAUUCACUCAGUAAAAGACCAGCGGAUCCGGACUGGCCUCAUACGGCUUUGCUACGCUUUGCUGAACAUCUUCCCUUAAACGGUUCCGGUGCAGACGGUGGAUCCCUUCAAAAUAACAAUAUCGCCGGCGUGUGUACAGCUGCUUUUGAUACUUCUUCCGAGGACCAAGCUGAUGGGUUAAAAAGUAGUUGGUACGACCAUUGUUCUUUUGUAAAUUUAACUUAUGUUGGAACUGGCAUAUGGCUUAACUGGGCCCUACAGAACUUGCCCCUUGCACUGCAUGCACUGGACCCGUUCAUAGCAAUGUAAAUAACAAAAGUGUCGUCGGCGUACGCUCAAUUAUUUCCUAUUAAUCCUGCGAUCGACGACCUCUGGAUGAACUCCGACGGGACGGUGAAUUCGCGAACAAUGUUGUGUAGACUUGGGUCGAGUUAAGCACAAAAUUCCGAGGCACUAGAGAGAGUCCUAGUUGAUGGCAACAAAUGCAGCCCGUGUUACCGGUGCUCUGCACUGCGAAAUGAAUCCGUGCUCAAACUGACACAUGACUUAGCUGGAAACCAACAACCGACUCCACCGAACAACAUCUAGCUGCAGAAUAUUUCUUUCACCCAUAAUUGCAUUUCUCUCCACCACUUCAGAUAUCUCAAUGCGAAAUGUAGUUGGUCGGCAGAACUGCAAGCGAUAUGAAAGAGAUCGACCAGCACCAACGCCAAAUUAGCAACCAACUCAUCUUAUUUUCGUUAUUCAGUUCGUCACUGCUGGAGAAAACCCUGCGGGAAUGUCGAGCUCUUCCUUGUGGAUGGUGAAUUUCCCAUACCACCAGUAAGCACCCGCUCUCCUCGUGGACAAGAGCAAAACGUGCCGCAAUCACAACCGUAAUAGGAGUUCUUGAAUUAUUAUUUGUGGGUUUACUGAAAUGUAUCAAAAAUAUAGAAGUCCAAAUAGUGGGUUCAAAGUGAAAUAAUAAGU